rnacentral:lncRNA from 1 species
GUGCCGAGGUGGGUACAGCGAGAUGGAGGCGCCGAUAUCGGGUGGGUAUCAAAAAAUCAGAUUUGAGGCAGCAGACGGUGAGAGCCUGGCACCAAAUGUGCUUUUUUGGGGGCCUCAGGGAGGUUCUGUGAGCCUGCAGCCUCCAAGACUUCAACCCUUUCUCAAGAAAAUGCUGAAAUCAAGGCUUGCAUGGAGCUGCUCCUCGGCCGGGCAGCGAGGGCCAACAGAGGCAUCUGCGCUCAGCUAAACGUGCCUGACUCAUGGGGACGGUGCCUGCUCGCCUUUCAGCAUCUCCACCAGCCCACAGCAAUCCUGCCCCAGGGAUACAACAUCCCAAAGAAUCCUCCUGGAUUAUCUAAAAGCAAAAAGAAGAUUUCAAACAGCAUCACCUACCCCUGGAGCUGCAUCACAAGUUGGGGUCACUUCCCAAAUUCCCCUUCAUGCUCCCACCAUCCACCAGCUGCAUCACCAGAUGUUGGUGCUGCUCUCCUCACAGCUGCUGCACCCCAGGUAAAUAUUUUGGGGUUUAUUUAACUGAAACUUGCUUGUUUGUUGAUUUUUUUUCAGGUGAAAGUUUGCUGCUGCAGCGCUUUCAAGUGCUCGGUGGUGGAUAAACAGAUUAACAGGUGGGAGAAGUGUCUGAUAAAGGCAGGAAAAAAAAGGUUUUUUUACAAAACACUGCUGGGGCACAGUGUGAAUCAACCAGGGCAGUGGCUCCACUAAAGGAAAUGUGUAAGAAGGAACACAGAUAACACAUUUUUAGCCUGAGAACAGGUUUUUUUAAACAAAGAAAGUGCUUCAUACAGAGCUGGUGAGAGGUAUUUUUCUACCCAAGGGGCAAAACUUAUUUCUGAUCCAUCUGUGUGGCCCUGGAGGGGUGGGACAGAGCUGCGGACAGGCCCUGCCUGGCAGAGCCCAUCCUUUCUCACCAGGGAUGUUGCAGGAGCUGGGGUCACCUUUUCUCGAUUUCUCUUGGCAGGCUGGCCCUGCCAAGCUGAGGGACACCAAGGCUUGGAAAUUGGGCAUCUCCCCCCUCUGCAAUCCACACAUUGAGCUACAGCUGGAAUUUGUAUGAAACAAAGCCUUUUUGACCUAAUUUUCUGUGCAAAUCAACCCAGUUGCUCCCAAAACAUAGAGGGGAAAAAAUCCCCCCACCGCUUUGUUCUACUUGAAAUAAUAAUUAUGAAGUGCUCCUAAGAGUUGAGCUUUUAAAAUGGCUUCUAAAAUAACUCAAAAGUUGAAAUAGAUUUGCUUAGCUGCAAAAAUUUCUAAAUGAAAGCUCUGGCCUCGUUAUGACUUUCAUCUUCCCAUUUUAAUGCUGAAUUUGCUGCCAGGAGUUUGCAGAUUAUGAUGAUCCAAUUGGGGGAUCUUUUCCACAAAAUAAACUAUUUC